rnacentral:rRNA from 1 species
AAUGAACGUUGGCGGCGUGGAUUAGGCAUGCAAGUCGAGCGAGAAGGGACCUCUCAUUUAUCCCCCGGACGUAUUGUUGGAAAUACGGCCACCGGGGGCUAAUUGAGGGGUCCCGGACAGCGGCGAAAGGGAGAGUAACGCGUAGUUACCUGCCCCGGGGUCCGGAAUAGCCACGGGAAACUGUGGGUAAUGCCGGAUAACAUCUUCGGAUCAAAGGUGUGAUUCCGCCCUGGGAGGGGACUGCGUCCUACUAGCUUGUUGGCGGGGUAAUGGCCCACCAAGGCAACAAUGGGUAGCGGGUGUGAGAGCAUGACCCGUCUCACUGGGACUGAGACACUGCCCAGACACCUACGGGUGGCUGCAGUCGAGAAUCUUCGGCAAUGGGCGAAAGCCUGACCGAGCGACGCCGCGUGCGGGAUGAAGGCCCUCGGGUUGUAAACCGCUGUCGUAGGGGAGGAAGUCUAUUGGGGUUCUCCCCAGUAGUUGACCUAUCCUAGGAGGAAGUACGGGCUAAGUUCGUGCCAGCAGCCGCGGUAACAC